UACGGAGGGUGCAAGCGUUAUCCGGAUUUAUUGGGUUUAAAGGGUCCGUAGGCGGAUCUGUAAGUCAGUGGUGAAAUCUCACAGCUUAACUGUGAAACUGCCAUUGAUACUGCAGGUCUUGAGUGUUAUUGAAGUAGCUGGAAUAAGUAGUGUAGCGGUGAAAUGCAUAGAUAUUACUUAGAACGCCAAUUGCGAAGGCAGGUUACUAAGCAACAACUGACGCUGAUGGACGAAAGCGUGGGGAGCGAACAGG
rnacentral:rRNA from 1 species